CUGGUAUGUACUGGUCUCACUGAUUCCUCCUUCCUGAUGAGCCGUAAUGCCAUUAAUUUGGUGUUGCGGGGAAUUUGGACUGUUACUUUGAAAAAAUUAGAGUGUUUAAAGCAAGCUAACGCUUGAAUACAUUAGCAUGGAAUAAUGAAAUAGGACGUUCGAUCCUAUUUUGUUGGUUUCUAGGAUUGACGUAAUGAUUAAUAGGGAUAGUUGGGAGCAUUAGUAUUCAAUUGUCAGAGGUGAAAUUCUUGGAUUUAUUGAAGACUAACUACUGCGAAAGCAUUUGCCAAGGAUGUUUUCAUUAAUCAAGAACGAAAGUUAGGGGAUCGAAGACGAUCAGAUACCGUCGUAGUCUUAACCAUAAACUAUGCCGACUAGGGAUCGGAUGAUGUUAAUUUUUUAAUGACUCAUUCGGCGCCUUACG
rnacentral:rRNA from 1 species